AGCAUCUCUACCUACAGACCGAUACAGCAUCUCUACCUACAGACCGAUACAGCAUCUCUACCUACAGACCUAUACAGCAUCUCUACCUACAGACCUAUACAGCAUCUCUACAUACAGACCUGUACAGCAUCUCUACCUACAGACCUAUACAGCAUCUCUACCUACAGACCUAUACAACAUCUCUACCUACAGACCUAUACAGCAUCUCUACCUACAGAACUAUACAGUAUCUCUACCUACAGACCUGUACAGCAUCUCUGCCUACAUACAUAUACAGCAUCUCUACCUACAAAUCUGUACAGCAUCUCUGCCUACAGACCUGUACAGCAUCUCUGCCUACAGAACUAUACAGCAUCUCUACCUACAGACCUGUACCGCAUCUCUGCCUACAGACCUAUACAGCAUCUCUAUCUACAUAACUAUACAGCAUCUCUACCUACAGACCGAUACAGCAUCUCUACCUACAGACAGAUACAGCAUCUCUACCUGCAGACCAAUACAGCAUCUCUACCUACAGACCUAUACAGCAUCUCUACCUAUAGACCGAUACAGCGUCUCUGCCUACAGACCUAUACAGCAUCUCUACCUACAGACCUAUACAGCAUCUCUACCUACAGACCUAUACAGCAUCUUUAUCUACAGGCCUAUACAGCAUCUCUACCUACAUACCUAUACAGCAUCUCUACCUAUAGACCUAUAAAGCAUCUCUACCUACACAACUAUACAGCAUCUCUACCUACAGACAGAUACAGCAUCUAUACCUACAGACCUAUACAGCAUCUCUACCUAUAUACCUAUACAGCAUCUCUACCUACAGACCUAUACAGCAUCUCUACCUAUAGACCUAUACAGCAUCUCUACCUACAGACCGAUACAGCGUCUCUACCUACAGACCUAUACAGCAUCUCUACCUACACAACAAUACAGCAUCUCUACCUACAGACAGAUACAGCAUCUAUACCUACAGACCUAUACAGCAUCUCUACCUAUAGACCUAUACAGCAUCUCAACCUACAGACCUAUACAGCAUCUCUACCUAUAGACCUAUACAGCUUCUCUACCUACAGACCUAUACAGCAUCUCUACCUACAGACCGAUACAGCAUCUCUACCUACAGACCUAUACAGCAUCUCUACCUACAGACCUAUACAGCAUCUCUACUUACAGACCUAUUCAGCAUCUCUACUUACAGACCUAUACAGCAUCUCUACCUACAGACCUAUACAGCAUCUCUACCUACAGAACUAUACAGCAUCUCUACCUACAGAACUAUACAGCAUCUCUACCUACAGACCUAUACAGCAUCUCUACUUACAGACCUAUACAGCAUCUCUACCUACAGACCUAUACAGCAUCUUUACCUACAGACAGAUAGAGCAUCUCUACCUACAGACCUAUACAGCAUCUCUACCUAUAGACCUGUACAGCAUCUCUACCUACAGACCUAUACAGCAUCUCUACCUAUAG
rnacentral:lncRNA from 1 species